rnacentral:rRNA from 1 species
AGCGAACGCUGGCGGCAGGCUUAACACAUGCAAGUCGAACGAUCCUUCGGGAUAGUGGCGGACGGGUGAGUAACACGUGGGAACGUGCCCUUAGGUUCGGAACAACACAGGGAAACUUGUGCUAAUACCGGAUAAGCCCUUACGGGGAAAGAUUUAUCGCCUUUGGAGCGGCCCGCGUCUGAUUAGCUUGUUGGUGAGGUAAAGGCUCACCAAGGCUACGAUCAGUAGCUGGUCUGAGAGGAUGACCAGCCACACUGGGACUGAGACACGGCCCAGACUCCUACGGGAGGCAGCAGUGGGGAAUCUUGCGCAAUGGGGG